rnacentral:rRNA from 1 species
CCCUUUGUGAACAUACCUUAACUGUUGCUUCGGCGGGUAGGCGUCCCCUGAAAAGGACGUCUCCCGGCCCUCUCCCGUCCGCGGGUGGGGCGCCCGCCGGAGGAUAACCAAACUCUGAUUUAACGACGUUUCUUCUGAGUGACACAAGCAAAUAAUCAAAACUUUUAACAACGGAUCUCUUGGUUCUGGCAUCGAUGAAGAACGCAGCGAAAUGCGAUAAGUAAUGUGAAUUGCAGAAUUCAGUGAAUCAUCGAAUCUUUGAACGCACAUUGCGCCCGCCAGCAUUCUGGCGGGCAUGCCUGUUCGAGCGUCAUUUCAACCCUCAAGCUCUGCUUGGUGUUGGGGCUCUACGGUUGACGUAGGCCCUUAAAGGUAGUGGCGGACCCUCUCGGAGCCUCCUUUGCGUAGUAACAUUUCGUCUCGCAUUGGGAUUCGGAGGGACUCUAGCCGUAAAACCCCC